rnacentral:rRNA from 1 species
AUUGAACGCUGGCGGCAUGCUUUACACAUGCAAGUCGAACGGUAACAGGCCGCAAGGUGCUGACGAGUGGCGCACGGGUGAGUAAUGCAUCUGAACGUGCCCAGUCGUGGGGGAUAACUACUCGAAAGAGUAGCUAAUACCGCAUACGAUCUAUGGAUGAAAGCGUGGGACCGUAAGGCCUCGCGCGCUUUGAGCUGCCGAUGUCAGAUUAGGUAGUUGGUGGGGUAAAGGCUCACCAAGCCAACGAUCUGUAGCUGGCCUGAGAGGACGACCAGCCACACUGGGACUGAGACACGGCCCAGACUCCUACGGGAGGCAGCAGUGGGGAAUUUUGGACAAUGGGCGCAAGCCUGAUCCAGCAAUGCCGCGUGCAGGAAGAAGGCCUUCGGGUUGUAAACUGCUUUUGUACGGAACGAAACGGCUCUGGUUAAUACCCGGGGCUAAUGACGGUACCGUAAGAAUAAGCACCGGCUAACUACGUG